UUUUGGUAAGCAGAACUGGCGCUGUGGGAUGAACCAAACGCUGGGUUACGGCGCCCGAUGCGAGACGCUCAUGAGACCCCAUGAAAGGUGUUGGUUGCUCCAGACAGCAGGACGGUGGCCAUGGAAGUCGGAAUCCGCUAAGGAGUGUGUAACAACUCACCUGCCGAAGCAACUAGCCCUGAAAAUGGAUGGCGCUCCAGCGUCGAGCCCAUACCCAGCCGCUGCAGCAGAGCUCCCCUGUGGAGGUUUACGCGGCAGUGAGUAGGAGGGUCGCGACGGGGAGCGUUGAAGGUGCCGGGCGCGAGCCCGCCUGGAGCCCCCGUCGGUGCAGAUCUUGGUGGUAGUAGCAAAUACUCAAGUGAGAACCUUGAGGACUGAAGUUGGAGAAGGGUUCCAUGUGAACAGCAGUUGAACAUGGGUCAGUCGGCCCUAAGGGAUCGGAGAAGUCCGUUCCGAAGCGAGACCUUACGUCCGAACGCAAGUCUCGCUGCUGACCGAAAGGGAAUGGGGUCAAUAUUCCCCAACCCGGACACGGAGAUUGAGCUUUCGGGCUCGAGUGCGGCGACGCAACCGAACUCGGAGAAGUCGACGGAGGAUCCAGGGAAGAGUUGUCUUUUCUUUGUAAGGGUUCGUGUCCCUGGAAUCGGCUCGUCCGGAGAUAGGGACGCUGUUCCCGUAAAAGCACCGCGGCUCUUGCGGUGUCUGGUUCGCCUCUGUCGGCCCUUGCAAAUCCGAGGGAGAUGGUGUGAUUUUCGUGCCGGACCGUACCCAUAUCCGCAGCA
rnacentral:rRNA from 1 species